rnacentral:rRNA from 1 species
ACAACGGAUCUCUUGGUUCUGGCAUCGAUGAAGAACGCAGCGAAAUGCGAUAAGUAAUGUGAAUUGCAGAAUUCAGUGAAUCAUCGAAUCUUUGAACGCACAUUGCGCCCAUUAGUAUUCUAGUGGGCAUGCCUGUUCGAGCGUCAUUUCAACCCUUAAGCCCCUGUUGCUUAGUGUU